GGCCGUUUGGCGCAAUGGUAGCGCGUUACUUUCCGGUUCAGUCUCUGAUGGUAAAGGUUCUGGGUUCGAAUCCCAGGAUGGUCG